rnacentral:lncRNA from 1 species
UGAGCCCCUGAAGUUACAUAUCAUGCUGACCUAAAGAUGAGCUAAUUGUUGCUUGGUCAUGAUGAGCUAUGCAUGACCUAUGGUUUCUGGUGGGAUUUGUUGGUGAAGUACAAUAGCCAAAUAAGAAAAUGAACUGAUUUUCUAUUGCAUUAGUGUGUUAGGUAAGUGGGUGUCAUAGGUGAUAGCCAUACUCAAUUCAGAUUUCUCACUUCCUUCCCCCUAUAAAUACCACUUUCAUUCCACAUUCAAAGGGGGGCAGAUCCCGGGAUUCCCAAUCCCACAAAUCACUCCAUCCAUCCUCAAACACUCCCACAAUCAACCCAACACUCUGAACAGCCCCAAAUCACCAAAAUAUUUCUCGCAAGUCUUCUUUCCAUUUCCCUAUGAAUUUCCACUUUCUCUGCCAUCACAACUCCCCCAAACUCAUCCCAAAUCACCUUAUUAGUUGUCUUACAUCCUUCUAGACGUGGGGAAGCUCUUGGAGAAGCAUUAGACGUGGAGAAGCACUUGGAGAAAC